rnacentral:rRNA from 1 species
GCCUUCUAGAAUCUCUUCGGCUCCGUCCUCCAAACCCCCUCACCAAGAAAGCAGAGGUGAACCAACCAGCGAAACCGUCAUCAAAUUGGUCGCGAGUUUGCGUGCCGAUCUACCUCUAACCUUCUCCUCCGCAUUGCACCUGCGAACGGCGGGCAGAUCCAUGGCGGCGCUGGCGUCAAGGAUGGCGCUGCAGUCCAGGGCGGCGUUGGCCUCGAGGAUGGCGCAGCUGCAGUCCAAGGCGGCCGAGGCGACGAGGUUCGCGGCCAAGCACGGGGGUGCGCUGCAGUCCGAGGCGGCAAGCUUCGCGGCCAAGCACGGGGCCACUCUGCAGUCCAAGGCGUCCGAGGCGGCAAGCUUCGCGGCCAAGCACGGGGGCGCGCUGCAGUCCAAGGCGUCCGAGGCGGCAAGCAUCGCGGCCAAGCACGGGGCCACGCUGCAGUCCAAGGCGUCCAAGGCGGCGAGCUUCGCGGCCAAGCAAGGGAGCGCGAUGCAGUCCAAGGCGGCCGAGGUGGCGAGCUCGGCGGCCAAGCAAGGGCGCGAGUACCACAAGACGCUCAUGGAGAGGAACAGGCAGUACGUCGUCGACCCGCCCACCGUCGAAAAGUGCCAGGAGCUCUCCAAGCAGCUCUUCUACACCCGCCUCGCCAGCAUUCCUGGCCGUUACGAGGCUUUCUGGAAAGAGGUUGAUGCUGUAAAGCUCUUGCUGAAAAACAGAAAGGACCUGAAGGCUGAGCAAGCCGGGGUUGCCGCAUUGUUUGGCAUUGAGUUGUAUGCAUGGCUUCGUGCCGGUGAGUUUAUUGGUAGAGGAUUUACCCUCACAGGUUGAUCGCUGACGUCUAGCAUGAGCGCACAUUAUUAGUCUACAUACAUUUGCCGUCUAGCUAUGAGCGUACAUUGUUAGUCUACAUUUGCCAUCGGAUACAGUGUUCGUUGAUCGAAAGUUUGUGCUUUUCUAGUUUGUUCUUGCCCCUCUGCUUUGUAAAAUGUG